rnacentral:snRNA from 1 species
GUGCUCUCUUAGGCAGCACAUAUACUAAAAUUGGAAUGAUACAGAUAAGAUUAGCAUGGCCCCUGUGCAAGGAUGAUGCACAAAUUUGUGAAGCGCUCCAUAUUUUA